AAUAUAUGACGCUGUUGACUUUUUCUCGCAUGUUUGACCAUUCGUUUUAUUUAAAAAAUUUACGUAAUUAUAAUUUAUUUUGUUAUGAGUUGUUUUAUCACUCAUAGUACUUUAAGUGUGAUUUAUAUCUUAUACAUUUGUAUAAAUUUUUUGAAUAAAACAAAUGGUCAAACAUGUGAGAAAAAAUUAACGGCGUCAUCUAUU
rnacentral:pre_miRNA from 1 species